AUUGAACGCUGGCGGCGUGCUUUACACAUGCAAGUCGAACGGCAGCACGGGUGCUAGCACUUGGUGGCGAGUGGCGAACGGGUGAGUAAUACAUCGAGACGUACCAAGUAGAGGGGGAUAACUAAUCGAAAGAUUGGCUAAUACCGCAUAAUCUCUGAGGAGGAAAGGUGGGGACCAGCAAUGGCCUGUCGUUACUUGAGCGGUCGAUGGUUGAUUAGCUAGUUGGUGGGGUAAGAGCUUACCAAGGCGAUGAUCGAUAGCUGUUCUGAGAGGAAGAUCAGCCACACUGGGACUGAGACACGGCCCAGACUCCUACGGGAGGCAGCAGUGGGGAAUAUUGGACAAUGGGGGCAACCCUGAUCCAGCAACGCCGCGUGAAUGAAGAAGGCCUCGGUUGUAAGU
rnacentral:rRNA from 1 species